AAGUCGUAAUAAGGUCUCCGUUAGUGAACCAGCGGAGGGAUCAUUACCAAGUACUAUAACUCAUAACCCUUUGUGAACCUUCAUACCUAUUACUUCGGCGGCGCGCCUCCCGGGGCGUGCCCGCUAGCAUUAUUAGAAUCUCUAUUUGAACCUAACGAUACUUCUAAGUGUUCUAAGCGAACUAUUAAAACUUUCAAUAACGGAUCUCUUAGCUCCA
rnacentral:misc_RNA from 1 species